AUUUUCAGCGAUGGAUGUCUUGGCUCGCGCAACGAUGAAGGACGCAGUGAAAUGCGAAACGCAAUGUGAAUUGCGGAAUUCAGGGAAUCAUCAGAUUUCUGAACGCAAAUGGCACCUU
rnacentral:rRNA from 1 species